CAGAAAUCUUAGAACUGUAGAAGUAUCAGAACUAGGAAGAACACUUAGCCUUUCUUUAAGCAAGUCCGUGAAGUGCUCCUCUGAGAAGACUGCUGGCUGUAGAACCUUCUCAUUUCCUGCGAUUGAACACAAGCACUGGUGAGGAUGUGUGGAUGGGAGCAGUCCAUGGAGCAGCCUUUCCAUCGCCCUGGUGCACCCCUGCCAUGCUGCCCUGCCUUGUACUUGGCCAACUAAGGACCAAAACCUCCAUAAAUGAUCAGAGAGCAAGCACAAGAGAACAGAUAGCAUCGCGUUCAUAACGGG